rnacentral:rRNA from 1 species
GGGAGGGGGGGCAAGCGUUAUUCGGAAUUAUUGGGCGUAAAGGGCGCGUAGGCGGCCUGACAAGUCGAAGGGUGAAAUCCCCCGGCCCAACCGAGGAACUGCCUUCGAAACUGUCAGACUUGAGGCCGGGAGAGGGUAGUGGAAUUCCCAGUGUAGCGGUGAAAUGCGUAGAUAUUGGGAGGAACACCAGUGGCGAAGGCGACUGCCUGGACCGGUUCUGACGCUGAGGCGCGAAAGCGUGGGGAGCAAACAGGAUUAGAUACCCUGGUAGUCCACGCUGUAAACGAUGGGUACUCGGUGCUGCGGGUAUCGACCCCUGCAGUGCCUUAGCUAACGCGUUAAGUACCCCGCCUGGGGAGUACGGUCGCAAAGGCUG